GAGUGUAAAGGCAUAAGGGAGCUUGACUGCGAGACCUACAAGUCGAGCAGGGUCGAAAGACGGACUUAGUGAUCCGGUGGUUCCGCAUGGAAGGGCCAUCGCUCAACGGAUAAAAGCUACCCCGGGGAUAACAGGCUUAUCUCCCCCAAGAGUUCACAUCGACGGGGAGGUUUGGCACCUCGAUGUCGGCUCAUCGCAUCCUGGGGCUGUAGUCGGUCCCAAGGGUUGGGCUGUUCGCCCAUUAAAGCGGUACGCGAGCUGGGUUCAGAACGUCGUGAGACAGUUCGGUCCCUAUCCGUCGUGGGCGUAGGAAAUUUGAGAGGAGCUGUCCUUAGUACGAGAGGACCGGGAUGGACAUACCUCUGGUGUACCAGUUGUCGUGCCAACGGCAUAGCUGGGUAGCUAUGUAUGGACGGGAUAAGUGCUGAAAG
rnacentral:rRNA from 1 species